rnacentral:rRNA from 1 species
GACGAACGCUGGCGGCGUGCCUAAUACAUGCAAGUUGAGCGCUGAAGGUUGGUACUUGUACCAACUGGAUGAGCAGCGCACGGGUGAGUAACGCGUGGGGAAUCUGCCUUUGAGCGGGGGACAACCUUUGGAAACGAAUGCUAAUACCGCAUAAAAACUUUAAACACAAGUUUUAAGUUUGAAAGAUGCAAUUGCAUCACUCAAAGAUGACCCCGCGUUGUAUUAGCUAGUUGGUGAGGUAAAGGCUCACCAAGGCGAUGAUACAUAGCCGACCUGAGAGGGUGAUCGGCCACAUUGGGACUGAGACACGGCCCAAACGCCUACGGGAGGCAGCAAGAGGGAAUCGUCGGCAAGGGACGAAAGUCUGACCGAGCAACGCCGCGGGAGUGAAGAAGGUUUUCGGAUCGUAAAACUCUGUUGGUAGAGAAGAACGUUGGUGAGAGUGGAAAGCUCAUCAAGUGACGGUAACUACCCAGAAAGGGACGGCUAACUACGUG